rnacentral:lncRNA from 1 species
CCCACUUAGUAGCUCUCAGCUACUGCUCCGGGGAUAUGCCUGUCUGCCUGCUGACAUGCUCUCUGCCAAUGGGUCAUGGACGCCCCUUGUGAAGGCUGUACCCACCGGGAGUUGCUGUUGAUGACUUCUCCUCUUGAAUCCGAGUGGACCUGAGACUCACUUGUAACCAGCACAAUGCUCUGUGGAACUAUUGCUGCAUAACCUUGAGGAAGUCAGAGAAAAGAAACUCAGGUUUGGGAUAGCCUUGAUCUACCAUGUGAUGAAUUUGAUUCCCCUGGUAUGGCCAUGUUAUCCUGAGGAUGCCCCAGCCACACACAGAAGCUACUGUGGACGCUUGGUUCAGCCAUCUUAGCUGCUAGUCGGCAUCAACAAUGGAUGGAAGAAUUCAAAUGACAUGAUGGCCAUUCCCAGCUGCCGAGCCACCCAGUCCAUAGGUCUUCUUUGCACAUGGAGUGAAUUCACAGAGCAGAGAGAAGGCAGUGUCCACAGAGCCCAUUAGCAUGGCCCGAAUGCUUUCUACUGCUGAGACCCUGAGUAACCAGGACAGCAAGCAAUUAUUUGAAGCAGCUGGAUUCAAGAAGGCUGGAUCACGUGUUAUCACACACGGAGGACUCACAGGUUAUGGGGAGCUGAACAAUGUAAUUACGUUCAUGGAGUGCCACCACUUCCUAAUUUUGAAGGUUAAAAAAUAAUCACUUUCUGGGCUUGGGCCUAGGUCAUGACGGCAUGGCUAAAGA